AAAGAGAAAGAAAGGUGAAAGAAAAAGUGCAAGUAAUUGUUUUUGUAAUUGCGUGUCCAAAAUUGGCAAAUAAUCAAAAACGUAGGUAACGCAAACAGGAUUCGGCCCCCUAAAAAGUGGUAUCCAAAUUUAUUAAUAAAAUUACUACAUUAAAAACAAAACUAGGUGAUAUAGUAGUUGUGUCUAAAACGAUUAAUAUUAAAAACCAACAGGUGGAAAGAAAUGUUUCGUAAAUUCGUAACACAUUGUAUAUGUGUUCGUUGCGAUUAAAGCCGGUGUACUCUCUUGUAUGAUUAUAAACCAGUAGCAGGUGGUGUAUUAAAAAUAACAAGUAAACACUAA